AUGAAGAGAUCCCCUCCUCCUCCUCCACAGCCAUCUCCUUCUUCUUCGCCGGCAUGCUCGCUGUCGCCGUCGCCGUCAUCUCCUUCCUCCUCCGACUCGUCCUCGAUCGCCAUUCCCCGCAAGCGAGCGCGGACGCAGAAGGCCGGGAGCGCCAAGGCCAAGGCGGCGCCCAAGCGGGCCAAGAAAGACGCGAGCAGGAGCAGCAAGGAGCCCGACGCCUCCGCCAAUGGCGCCGCCGCGUCUGGGAAGAGGAGCUCCAUAUACAGAGGGGUCACAAGGCACAGGUGGACAGGCAGAUUCGAGGCACACCUCUGGGACAAGAACUGCUUCACUUCCAUCCAGAACAAGAAGAAAGGGAGGCAAGUCUAUCUCGGGGCUUAUGAUACAGAGGAGGCAGCUGCCCGUGCGUAUGAUCUCGCGGCUCUCAAAUAUUGGGGCCCUGAAACCACACUGAAUUUCACGGUGGAUGAGUACGCGAAAGAGAGGUCGGAGAUGGAGGGGGUGUCGCGGGAGGAGUACCUCGCCGCCCUCCGCCGCCGGAGCAGCGGCUUCUCAAGGGGGGUCUCCAAGUACAGGGGCGUCGCCAGGCACCACCACAAUGGGCGGUGGGAGGCGCGAAUUGGGCGGGUGCUGGGGAACAAGUAUCUAUACCUGGGAACCUUUGAUACCCAAGAGGAAGCAGCCAGGGCCUAUGAUCUUGCGGCCAUCGAAUACCGAGGCGCUAACGCCGUAACCAACUUCGACAUUAGCCGCUACCUGGACCAGCCGCAGUUACUGGCACAACUGGAGCAGGGGCCACAGGUGGUGCCAGCAUUGCAAGAGGAGCUUCAACAUGAUCAACAAAGUGACAACGCAGUCCAAGAGCUCAACUCAGGUGAAGCGCAGAAGCCGGGUAGCGUCAACGAGCCGAUUGCAGUGGAUGACACAGACAGCGCCGGAGACAUCGGUGCCCCCCUUGUGUUUGACAGCGGCGUCGAGGAGAACCUGUGGAGCCCUUGCAUGGAUUAUGAUUUGGACCCCAUCUUUGGACGCGACAUCAGCAACUCGAUGAAUCUGAGCGAGUUCUUCAACGACCCCACCUUCGAGAGCAACAUCGGGUACCUGUUCGAAGGAUGUCCCGACAUCGAUGACUGCAGCACCAGGCAUGGCGCAGGCCUGGCGGCGCUCGGUUUUCUCAAGGAAGGUGACGAUAAUAUGAAGGAUGUUCCAGACAUGGAUGCAGAAAUAACUCCUCAAGCAAACGAUGUCUCCUGCCCUCCAAAAAUGAUCACUGUGUGUAAUUGA
rnacentral:rRNA from 1 species